rnacentral:rRNA from 1 species
ACUCCUACGGGAGGCAGCAGUGGGGAAUAUUGCACAAUGGGGGAAACCCUGAUGCAGCCAUGCCGCGUGUGUGAAGAAGGCCUUGGGUUGUAAAGCACUUUCAGUAGGGAGGAAGGUAGUGUAGUUAACACCUGCACUAUUUGACGUUACCUACAGAAGAAGCACCGGCUAACUCCGUGCCAGCAGCCGCGGUAAUACGGAGGGUGCGAGCGUUAAUCGGAAUUACGUGGGCGUAAAGCGCAUGCAGGCGGCCUGUUAAGUCAGAUGUGAAAGCCCGGGGUCUUAACCUCGGAAUUGCAUUUGAAACUGGCAGGCUAGAGUCUUGUAGAGGGGUUAGAAUUUCAGGUGUAGCGGUGAAAUGCGUAGAGAUCUGAAGGAAUACCAGUGGCGAAGG